rnacentral:rRNA from 1 species
GUGCCAGCAGCCGCGGUAAUACGUAGGGGGCAAGCGUUGUUCGGAGUUACUGGGCGUAAAGGGUGUGUAGGCGGUUCUUUAAGUUUGGUGUGAAAUCUCCCGGCUCAACUGGGAGGGUGCGCCGAAUACUGAGGGACUAGAGUACGGGAGAGGAAAGUGGAAUUCCUGGUGUAGCGGUGAAAUGCGUAGAUAUCAGGAGGAACACCGGUGGUGUAGACGGCUUUCUGGACCGACACUGACGCUGAGACACGAAAGCGUGGGUAGCAAACAGGAUUAGAUACCCCGGUAGUCC